rnacentral:lncRNA from 1 species
UAGUGGAGAUGGCCAGUAGGCUGCUGAACAUACAGUUCUGAAGUUUAUAAGCAAGAUUGUAACCUGAAGGGAUAAGAGAGCCCUGGAUAGAAUCCUGAGAAACACCUGUAUUUAAGAGCUGGACAACAGAAACUGGGGAGUGGCUAUGGAGUUCUGAGUUCUGACAUUAUAGAAGCCAAAGAGAGAACAUGCCUCAAGGAGGGCAUAGUCAGCAGCGUUAAAUCCUUCUAAGAGGAAGAAGGCACUAUGGAUGGUGGAGUAGAAGACAUUAAGAGAGACAGAGAGAACUGCAGAUUCAAGGUCUCUGAGAUGACAAGGGAUUGGAUCCAACACAAAAGUGGAACCCCUUUCUUGGCUGCAAGAGGAAGGAAGAUGGGCAGCGAUAACAGUAAGAUCUGUGGAUUGGGCAGGGGGGAUUUAGAAUGUCCUAGUAUGAUUUUUUAGGUUCUUUCCUGAAAAUUAGGACACAAAUUAUCACAAAGAUGCUGUGGACUUUGCUUUAACUUGGUUAAUGACGAUUCUAUGGCAAUGUAUUAAAUUUCUUUCUCCUAAGUCCACUGAAGUCUUUUUGGACUUGGAGAGAGCUUUUUAAGAAAGAACUUGCUCAUUCAGCAGGAUUUUCCUCCCCACCCCAAGCUCUGGUUCUGACCUGGAAAAAAUAAGAGUGAGAAAGAGCAAGAGAAUCCUGCAGUCCUGACGCUCAACUUCACAAACCACAAAAAAGAACCUUUCUCCAGUAACGUAAUCAUGGAGAUUUCUGGCACCUUGGUCUUUCAAGAAAAAUACAUCCUUCUGCUGGCACAGGGACCCAUCAAACUAAACCCUAUUCAGCAUGGAGUUCCCGAUUCAUUAGUGUUGGAAAGUCUAUAGCGAGGCUGGCCGCUCCCAUUGGAUGAUGCCUCCCUGCAGCGCCGUCUGUAAACCCCACAGCUGUGUUUUCACUUAAAGCCACUUCUCCUGACUGCGCUGCACCUUGUUCCAGAGGCUUGCUCUGUUCUCAUUAAGGUUAAAAAUGACAGGACAAGGAUUCUUCAAUGCUGA